UACAGAGGGGGCCAGCGUUAUUUCGGAAUUAUUGGGCGUAAAGGGGCUCGAGUAGGCGGGCCAACUAAGUUCGGACUGUGAAAUCCCCAGGCUCAACCUGGGAACUGCGUCCGAUACUGGAAUGGCUUUGAAUCCGGGGAGAGGGAUGCAGGAAUUCCGAAGGUGUAGCGGUGGAAAUGACGUAGAUAUCUGGAGGAAUACCGGUGGCGAAGGCGGCAAUCCUGGACCGGCAUUGACGCUGAGGAG
rnacentral:rRNA from 1 species